UUGGGUUGACAAAAAAGUUUGUUUGGGUUUUCUGUAAGAUAUGAUGGAAAAAUCCGAACGAACUUUUUGGUCAGCCCAAU
ensembl:miRNA bta-mir-2284aa-3 bta-mir-2284aa-3